CUGAAAUUUGUUAGUGGAUUAGAUCUCUUUCUCAGUGCACAUUCAUGAUGAUAAAACUGCAGGCAUAACCAUACAUUCUGAAGUAUUUCAGCAGUACCAAUAGAAUUUGUUGGUAAAGGAAUUUUUCUCAGUGAAAACUCAUGAAGUAAGAAAGCGUUGAUGUUUGUUUAAAGCCUUAAUGCGGCAGUUGGAGAAACAGGAAAUUACCUGACUUUCAAAGCAAGGGUGAAAAUCCGAAGCCAUCUUGAUUCAAUAUUUCAAACUUAGUUUGGUCACUCUGCAGAAUCUACAAUGGCAUCUUUCAGCAAGAUUUUAAAUUUACUCUGCUAC